CAGCGUCACGAGUGGCAACCAUAUUUAUUGGGCCUAAAGCGUCCGUAGCCUGUUUGAUAAGUCUUUUGUGAAAUCGUUGAGCUCAACUUAACGUCGUGCAAGAGAUACUGUCAGACUUGGAAUUGGGAAGAGUUAGAGGUAUUCUGGGGGGAGCGGUAAAAUGCUAUAAACCCUGGAGGACCACCAGUGGCGAAAGCGUCUAACUAGAACAACUUCGACGGUGAGGGACGAAAGCCAGGGGAGCAAAACGGAUUAGAUACCCGAGUAGUCU
rnacentral:rRNA from 1 species